rnacentral:misc_RNA from 1 species
GAUGAAGAACGUAGCGAAAUGCGAUAAGUAAUGUGAAUUGCAGAAUUCAGUGAACCAUCGAAUCUUUGAACGCACAUUGCGCCCGCCAGCAUUCUGGCGGGCAUGCCUGUUCGAGCGUCAUUUCAACCCUCGAGCCCCCCCGGGGGCCUCGGUGUUGGGGGACGGCACACCAGCCGCCCCCGAAAUGCAGUGGCGACCCCGCCGCAGCCUCCCCUGCGUAGUAGCACACACCUCGCACCGGAGCGCGGAGGCGGUCACGCCGUAAAACGCCCAACUUUCUUAGAGUUGACCUCGGAUCAGGUAGGAAUACCCGCUGAACUUAAGCAUAUCAAUAAGCGGAGGA